rnacentral:rRNA from 1 species
UACGUAGGGUGCGAGCGUUGCCCGGAUUUAUUGGGCGUAAAGGGCGCGUAGGCGGCUCUGCACGUCCGUUGUGAAAUCGCCCGGCUCAACUGGGCGGGGUCAGCGGAUACGGCGGAGCUCGAGCAAGCUAGGGUGCGGAAGAGGGAAGCGGAAUUUCCGGUGUAGCGGUGAAAUGCGUAGAUAUCGGAAGGAACACCAGUGGCGAAAGCGGCUUCCUGGUCCAGCACCGACGUUCAGGCACGAAAGCGUGGGGAGCAAACAGG